GGGAAUUAGCCAUUCCUUGCUAUAUUCAUCCCUAAUUUUCUAAGAUACGACCUGCCUAUUUCUAUCCUAUCAUGUCCUGAAACAGCUUCAGCUAGUACAUUCUGUCCAGUGCAGGGCACUGCACUUCCAGUGAAGACAUGAACCUGCUGGGAAUAUCUAGAAGAAAACAGCCUGGGGUCUCUGAGGAGGUCUGCCCUCGAUUUAUGUCACCUACCUUCACAUUCUUUCCUCAGUAAACCAUGUAAAAUGUUAUUAACUACAGUUUGCUUCAUCAUUCUCUCCAUCCAAUUUAAAUUAAUAUAGUUUUCAGAUUAUCAGUCCUUCAUCAAGCUCAUAAAAGGAGAGAAUAGAUGUUUAAAUUAAUUGCGAGCUUGAUUAUUCAUAGUUUUUAAUGUCUUCAAGCCCUCUUGUGUAAUGGAAUGGGAAGUGUGAAUGCUUAGGAGAAACCAAAAAAAUUAAUGUGACACAGAUUACUCAUUGCAAGUUGUUAUUGUAGGAAAGCAGUUACUUAGAGGUUUGCUUUACAUUAUUGAUGUUUAAUGUCUAUUUAAAUAAAUCACUAUUGUAAAAUGACA
rnacentral:lncRNA from 1 species